AACGCUGGCGGCAUGCCUUACACAUGCAAGUCGAACGGCAGCACGGGAGCAAUCCUGGUGGCGAGUGGCGAACGGGUGAGUAAUAUAUCGGAACGUGCCCAGUCGUGGGGGAUAACGUAGCGAAAGCUACGCUAAUACCGCAUACGAUCUAUGGAUGAAAGCGGGGGAUCGCAAGACCUCGCGCGAUUGGAGCGGCCGAUAUCAGAUUAGGUAGUUGGUGGGGUAAAGGCUCACCAAGCCAACGAUCUGUAGCUGGUCUGAGAGGACGACCAGCCACACUGGAACUGAGACACGGUCCAGACUCCUACGGGAGGCAGCAGUGAGGAAUAUUGGACAAUGGGCGCAAGCCUGAUCCAGCCAUGCCGCGUGCAGGAUGACGGUCCUAUGGAUUGUAAACUGCUUUUGUACAGGAAGAAACACUCCCUCGUGAGGGAGCUUGACGGUACUGUAAGAAUAAGGAUCGGCUAACUCCGUG
rnacentral:rRNA from 1 species